rnacentral:rRNA from 1 species
UACGUAGGGGGCAAGCGUUGUCCGGAUUUAUUGGGCGUAAAGAGCUCGUAGGCGGCUUGUCGCGUCGGCUGUGAAAACUCGGGGCUCAACCCCGAGCCUGCAGUCGAUACGGGCAGGCUGGAGUCCGGCAGGGGAGACUGGAAUUCCUGGUGUAGCGGUGAAAUGCGCAGAUAUCGGGAAGAACACCCGUGGCGAAGGCGGUUCUCUGGGACGGUACUGACGCUGAGACGCGAAAGCGUGGGGAGCGAACAGG